rnacentral:rRNA from 1 species
CCUCCUUUGUUCCGCCGUCGGGAAUAUUGCUCAAUGGGGGAAACCCUGAAGCAGCAACGCCGCGUGGAGGAUGAAGGUUUUCGGAUUGUAAACUCCUUUUGUUAGAGAAGAUAAUGACGGUAUCUAACGAAUAAGCACCGGCUAACUCCGUCCCAGCAGCCUCGGUAAUACGGAGGGUGCAAGCGUUACGCGGAAUCACUGGGCGUAAAGAGCGCGUAGGCGGGAUAGCAAGUCAGAUGUGAAAUCCUAUGGCUUAACCAUAGAACUGCAUUUGAAACUGUUCUUCUAGAGUAUGGGAGAGGUAGGUGGAAUUCUUGGUGUAGGGGUGAAAUGCGUAGAGAUGAAGAGGAAUACUCAUUGCGAAGGCGACCUGCUAGAACAUAACUGACGCUGAUGCGCGAAAGCGUGGGGAGCAAACAGGAUUAGAUACCCGUGUAGUC